rnacentral:rRNA from 1 species
GGCCAGACUCCUACGGGAGGCAGCAGUGGGGGAUAUUGCACAAUGGGGGGAACCCUGAUGCAGCGACGCCGCGUGGGUGAAGAAGUAUUUCGGUAUGUAAAGCCCUAUCGGCAGGGAAGAAAUUGGACGGUACCUGACUAAGAAGCCCUGGCUAACUACGUGCCAGCAGCCGCGGUAAUACGUAGGGGGCAAGCGUUAUCCGGAUUCACUGGGUGUAAAGGGAGCGUAGACGGCCAUGCAAGCCUGGAGUGAAAUGCCGGGGCCCAACCCCGGAACUGCUUUGGAAACUGUGCAGCUGGAGUGCAGGAGAGGUAAGCGGAAUUCCUAGUGUAGCGGUGAAAUGCGUAGAUAUUAGGAGGAACACCAGUGGCGAAGGCGGCUUACUGGACUGUAACUGACGUUGAGGCUCGAAAGCGUGGGGAGCAAACAGGAUUAGAUACCCCGGUAU